rnacentral:rRNA from 1 species
GGUACGACUCUCGGCAAUGGAUAUCUUGGCUCUGGCAUCAACGAAGAAUGUAGCAAAAUGCGAUACAUGGUUCAAAUUGUAGAAUCCCACGAACCAUCGAGUCUUUGAAUGCAAGUUGGGCCCGAGGCCAUCAGGUCGAGGGCAUGCCUGCCUGGGCGCCGAGC